rnacentral:rRNA from 1 species
CCUGGUAGUGGGGGACAACGUUUCGAAAGGAACGCUAAUACCGCAUACGUCCUACGGGAGAAAGCAGGGGACCUUCGGGCCUUGCGCUAUCAGAUGAGCCUAGGUCGGAUUAGCUAGUUGGUGGGGUAAUGGCUCACCAAGGCGACGAUCCGUAACUGGUCUGAGAGGAUGAUCAGUCACACUGGAACUGAGACACGGUCCAGACUCCUACGGGAGGCAGCAGUGGGGAAUAUUGGACAAUGGGCGAAAGCCUGAUCCAGCCAUGCCGCGUGUGUGAAGAAGGUCUUCGGAUUGUAAAGCACUUUAAGUUGGGAGGAAGGGCAGUAAGCUAAUACCUUGCUGUUUUGACGUUACCGACAGAAUAAGCACCGGCUAACUCUGUGCCAGCAGCCGCGGUAAUACAGAGGGUGCAAGCGUUAAUCGGAAUUACUGGGCGUAAAGCGCGCGUAGGUGGUUUGUUAAGUUGGAUGUGAAAGCCCCGGGCUCAACCUGGGAACUGCAUCCAAAACUGGCAAGCUAGAGUACGGUAGAGGGUGGUGGAAUUUCCUGUGUAGCGGUGAAAUGCGUAGAUAUAGGAAGGAACACCAGUGGCGAAGGCGACCACCUGGACUGAUACUGACACUGAG